GCAAGUAUAGUUUAAUUGGUAAAGUGUCUCCCUUCCAAGGAGAAAUUGUUAGUUCGAGUCUAAUUGCUCCGCC